CAGUCGCCACGGUAAUACGGAGGGUGCAAGCGUUAAUCCGAAUUACUGGGCGUAAAGCGCACGCAGGCGGUUUGUUAAGUCAGGUGUGAAAUCCCCGAGCUUAACUUGGGAACUGCAUUUGAAACUGGCAAGCUAGAGUCUUGUAGAGGGGGGUAGAAUUCCAGGUGUAGCGGUGAAAUGCGUAGAGAUCUGGAGGAAUACCGGUGGCGAAGGCGGCCAUCUGGGACAACACUGACGCUGAGGCACGAAAGCGUGGGGAGCAAACAGGAUUAGAUACCCCGGUAGUCCCUGUCUCUUAUAC
rnacentral:rRNA from 1 species